UACGAGGGGGGGCAAGCGUUGUUCGGAAUUAUUGGGCGUAAAGCGCGCGCAGGCGGUCCUUUAAGUCUGAUGUGAAAGCCCACGGCUCAACCGUGGAGGGUCAUUGGAAACUGGGGGACUUGAGUGCAGAAGAGGAAAGUGGAAUUCCACGUGUAGCGGUGAAAUGCGUAGAGAUGUGGAGGAACACCAGUGGCGAAGGCGACUUUCUGGUCUGUAACUGACACUGAGGCGCGAAAGCGUGGGGAGCGAACAGG
rnacentral:rRNA from 1 species